GACGAACGCUGGCGGCGUGCUUAACACAUGCAAGUCGAACGGAAAGGCCCUGCUUUUGUGGGGUGCUCGAGUGGCGAACGGGUGAGUAACACGUGAGUAACCUGCCCUUGACUUUGGGAUAACUUCAGGAAACUGGGGCUAAUACCGGAUAGGAGCUCCUGCUGCAUGGUGGGGGUUGGAAAGUUUCGGCGGUUGGGGAUGGACUCGCGGCUUAUCAGCUUGUUGGUGGGGUAGUGGCUUACCAAGGCUUUGACGGGUAGCCGGCCUGAGAGGGUGACCGGCCACAUUGGGACUGAGAUACGGCCCAGACUCCUACGGGAGGCAGCAGUGGGGAAUAUUGCACAAUGGGCGCAAGCCUGAUGCAGCAACGCCGCGUGCGGGAUGACGGCCUUCGGGUUGUAAACCGCUUUCGCCGGUGACGAAGCGUGAGUGACGGUAAUGGGUAAAGAAGCACCGGCUAACUACGUG
rnacentral:rRNA from 1 species